UACGGGGGGGGCAAGCGUUGUUCGGAAUUACUGGGCGUAAAGGGCUCGUAGGCGGCCAACUAAGUCAGACGUGAAAUCCCUCGGCUUAACCGGGGAACUGCGUCUGAUACUGGAUGGCUUGAAUCCGGGAGAGGGAUGCGGAAUUCCAGGUGUAGCAGUGAAAUGCGUAGAUAUCAGGAGGAACACCGAUGGCGAAGGCAGGUCUCUGGGCUGACACUGACGCUCAUGCACGAAAGCGUGGGGAGCAAACAGG
rnacentral:rRNA from 1 species